CCUAAAUUUCCUGGUAAAUGGCCUUUUCAUUUAUCGGAAAGUCAGCUUGAAGCCAGGCGUAAAGGUCUUGAAAGUUACUUGCAGCAAGUGUGCGCUGUUCGAGUUCUUGGAGAAUCAGAAUAUAUUCGUGAAUUUUUGGAUGACCGGGAAAUAAAGGUAACUAGACGAUCAGCGAUCGUUUACAUGGGCUUCCUGUGGUAUAUCACAAUCAGUAAAUGAUAUUGAACCCUAAUGAAAUUAAUAUUACUAUUAAAGACAACAGCCAAAAAAGUUUUCCUUUAAUGAAAUAUAAUCAACAAACAAGCAAUGUACUUGAAAAUAGUAGAAUUUAAUAAUAUUGUGAAAGAAGUAAUUUAUGUUUGACGAGACGUUACUUUAAGAGUCGCAUACUUGGCUGUAUUAAACACAGAUCGAUAGUC